GCCCACAAACCACAUUUUUAUCAGAGAGGAAACUUUUAUCUGUCUUGUGAGGAUGAUCGCACUAUUGAUAUUGAAGUGUGCCCAAGGUGCCAGAACCUGAAGUAUAUGAUUGCCCUGCAGAGGGUUGUCAGCAGAAAGAACAUUCCACUCAGACAUGCAGGGCAUGCACACUUUGUAUUGCUCGGUGUGUUCAGUGUGGCCGGUGUAUUAAUGACAAUGAAUAUGUGGAAACAUUCUGCCUUGAGUUGCUUUGUUCAGAUUGUUGGAAACAACUCCAGAAAUGCCAGGAGAAGCAAGAUGGUAAGAUCAGUCCAUCCAAGUCUCCUCCUCUUGGUGGAUCUAGUUGCCGCCUCCGUCUUCAUGGCUAGAGACAGACGCCUGUUUUUGUCUUCUGGUUUCAUAUUAUGAUUGAGAUGUGCAUAAUAGGUUAUUUAGAAUCUGAGAAGAAAAUGUGAGGCAGCCAUCUAGGA
rnacentral:misc_RNA from 1 species